rnacentral:rRNA from 1 species
AAUGAACGCUGGCGGUAUGCCUAACACAUGCAAGUCGAACGGCAGCACAGUAGUGGCUUGCUCUUACGAGGUUCGAGUGGCAGACGGGUGUAGAAUACAGCGGAAUCUACUUUUUCGUGGGGGAAAACGUAGGGAAACUUACGCUAAUACCGCAUACGACCUGCGUGUGAAAACAGAAUAUCUUCAGACCUUGCUCGAGUGAAUGAUCCGAUGUCGGAUUAGCUAGUUGGCGGGGUAAAGGCUCACCAAGGCGACGAUCCGUAGCUGGUCUGAGAGGAUGAUCAGCCACACUGGAACUGAGACACGGCCCAGACUCCUACGGGAGGCAGCAGUGGGGAAUAUUGGACAAUGGGCGAAAGCCUGACCCAGCCAUACCGCGUGGGUGAAGAAGGCCUUCGGGUUGUAAAGCUCUUUUGUUGGGAAAGAAAAGGAGCAGGUUAAUAUCCAGCUGUUCUGACGGUACCCAACGAAUAAGCACCGGCUAACUUCGUG